UGCUGAGGCCUUCUUUCGGCAUUUUUCACACAUCUUCCAUGAAGAGUGACAGAAAUAAAUGGUGACAAUUUUGUGCAUCAAAUGAUAAUUUGUGUUCUCACUUCUGAUUUUUCUUUGAAUGCUCAGUUAGACAAUCAUAAGCCUGAUUGAGUGUUGGGCUGAACAUCCUUUCAAGAAAGCUGCAAUUAUAAAUUUUCAUGAACUAAGUGUUCAAAGAGAAAUCACAAAUUAUAGCCAUCCAGCAACACAGACCUCGUGAACUGCUCACAGGCUGUCACUCCACGGAUGUUAAACCAAACUUACAUUCCUUGAUCAUGGCUUAAUUAUGGGGCUGGAUUCAAGUUUAUAACACAAAAUUGACUCAUCUGAUUGGCUGCAACUAUUCCUGCCUUGUUAUCUUGCUAUGAGUUACUAAGUAAGUUGCUACAUUAAAAAAGCAGAAUCUCAACCAUUGCUGGCAGCAUCUUGAUUUACCAACACGGUUGCUGAACAACAACAAAAGGUGCUCAG
ensembl:lncRNA